rnacentral:rRNA from 1 species
AGAGCGAACGCUGGCGGCAGGCCUAACACAUGCAAGUCGAGCGCCCCGCAAGGGGAGCGGCAGACGGGAGAGUAACACGUGGGAACGUACCCUUCAGUUCGGAACAACCCAGGGAAACUCGGGCUAAUACCGAAUACGUCCGUAAGGAGAAAGAUUUAUCGCUGAAGGAUCGGCCCGCGUCUGAUUAGCUUGUUGGUGAGGUAAUGGCUCACCAAGGCUACGAUCAGUAGCUGGUCUGAGAGGAAGAUCAGCCACACUGGGACUGAGACACGGCCCAGACUCCUACGGGAGGCAGCAGUUGGGAAUCUUGGACAAUGGGGGAAACCCUGAUCCAGCCAUGCCGCGUGAGUGAUGAAGGCCUUCGGGUUGUAAAACUCUUUCGACGGGGACGAUAAUGACGGUACCGUAGAAGAAGCUCCGGCUAACUUCGCGCCAGCAGCCGC